rnacentral:lncRNA from 1 species
CAUGCUUUUGGAAUUCAUUUGUGCAAAAGCUAGCAGGGGGCAUAAAGACGUCCUUGCCCUCUAAUUCAGUAAUUCGAUUUCUGGGUGCUCGCCUGGAAGUCAAUCUAACUAAAAGGGAGGCUCGGGACGAAGCAAGAGUGAGACGCGGGAAGCAGGAGAGGAUGCUCACCUUGACCGCAGCCCCAUUGCUAAGCCUUCACGGGUUAGUGCAUCCCCUACCCCUCACUAAUAACCUGUCUACACCAGGCCUGGUGCCAAGCGCUGGAGGAAGAAGAAGGAACCACAGGCAGAGUUUACGCCUCAGGCAGCUGAGGGACAGAGGGGCUACAGGCAAGGAGGCCGAGUGCACCCACGCUUACGGUUCAUUGCGAUGAAGGAAGAGCAGUGGAGGACACAUGAGAGGGGCUGGAAAUCAGACGAGGCACUCAGGGAAGGCUUCCUGGACGAAGUGGCUUUCGAGCAGAGUUAGGGGGCCGAGAGAACAGAGCUGCUAGGGGUCCGACAGGAGCUACAGCUGCAGGCCUACGCCACAGCCCCAGCAUGCGGGAUCCGAGCCACCUCUGUGAUCUACACCCCAGCUCACAGCAACGCCAGAUCCUUCACCCACUGAGCAAGGCCAGGGAUCGAACCCUCAUCCUCAUGGAUCCUGGUCGGGUUCGUUUACCGCUGAGCCAGCGAGGGAACUCCUUGCUUCUUUGUUAAAUGAAGCUCCUGGAUGAUGAACCUUCUCCCUCAGCGUCUCCCACGUUGGACCCUUCGUGUUCAACCAUCAGCGUCUUGAGAGCAAAAGGGCCCAAAGCUCACGUUCGGGAAAAGCCGGUGUCCACAGGUUUCUUUACGACCGAGCCUGCCCACGCCGGGACCUGGCAGCCUGCACUCCAGCCCGCAUCCUUCAUGUACUGUACGAGCACGUGGUGCUUUCUCCAGCCAUUGGAAACCCUCUCCUGCUGCCCCUCGGAUGACGCUCUGCAGAGCACGGGUC